AGUGGUUUCAUGGUCUAGCAGGGAAGCAAAUGCAGUCUUUUUUUCCUCCCUGUUUUAUAGUUCUAUUUGUAUCAAUACAACGUUCAUGCAGGGUUACAGGUUACAGGGAGCGCAAAUAGACCUCACACGCACUUGUCUGUGUGGUCUGAGAACCUGUCUUGUCCCUGUGCCCUGCUCAUCAUCCCCAUGACUGUCCACGGUGUGAUGGCUCAGGCCACUGCUUCAGGGCCAGCUUCUUUGGGAGCAGAGCAGCAUCUAGGAAGUAGGUCCCUUCUGGGAUUGGAGCACUGAGGCACGAGAGAUGGAGUCUCACUCUGUCACUCUGAGUGGCGUGAUCACAGCUCACUGCGGCCUCGACCUCCUGAGCUCAAGGGAUCCUCCCACCUCGUCCCCACCAGUAGCCAGGACUACAGGUUGCUGAGAUGCCUGGGGAUUAUACAUAUUUAUGACCAAGCUCAUGACACAUUGUGGAUGCUCAAGAAAUGCUACUGUCAUGGAGGCCAGGACUCUUGCAAGGGAACAAUGCCUAAGCCUGGUUACUGGACCUGUGGUUAUGAGGCAGAAGCCUGGAUACUGGGGCACUGAUCAUUGAGGGAUGUCCUACAAAGAGGCAUUGACAGCGAGUCACCUGCACUGUUGCACUGGUGUGCCUGAGGGCAGGGUUGGCUAGAGAACUUUUGGGAGCAAGGGAAAGGCUUAGCUAUAGGGAAAUAAAAGUAUGGGAACUAUGCUGUCAUUGGAGAAAGGUUUUCAUUGGCUGCUGGAAACAAAUAAGUAUUCUCAAUGUGUGUAUAUAUGUGCAUAUUCAGGUGAAAGAGUGUUCAUUUUGUAUAUUAUUCACUUAUAUAAGAAACAUUUAUUGAAUACCUGUUCAGUGCUAGGCACUGUGAUUACAGCUGAAAAUAGGCAAACCGUGAAACACAGCACUCCAGGAUCUUACAGUCUGAGGGGAAGAAAAGGAACUGCAUGUAAACAAGGCAAAGUGGUGGCCUUAAGGGCCAGGAUGAAUGAUUGAGGACAUAGUGUGCACUCAGUGUUAGAAGGCCAGUGCAUGGGGAGUUCAGAAUGGGUGAGAUCGGUUUGAUUUGGAAUGGGCAGGAAGUUGGAAAAUAUCUUACAACAGAUAAAUGGAUGUGGGGAUCUUAGCUCAACCUCACACUCUAUGCCCUGGGGAGGUUCAUAGGAGAGUCAGCACACAGGCCUCAAGAAGUGGAGGUUGCUGUUGAGUGGCAUUCAUUCAUUCACUCAACAAAUCUUUACUGAGCACCUACAAUUGCCCGGCACUAUUCUAAACUCUGGGGACUCAGUGAUGAACAAGACAGGAAACAACUCCUGCCUUACUAUGGCAUGCAUUGUAAUGGAGGAAGAUGAAAAAUAGUUACAGCAAUAAGUGAGUUAUAUGCAGCAGCAGUUCUUAAAAUUUUGGGUCCCAGAACCCCUUUAUAUUCUUAAAAAUUAUUGAGGACCUCAAAGAACUUUCAUGUAUAAAAGUUAUUGCUAUUGAUAUUUACAACACUAGAAAUUAGAAUUGAGAAAUUAAAAAUGCAUCUAUAUGAAUACUUAAAAGUAAUAAUAAGAUACCCAUUAUAUUUUAGCACAAAUGACAUAUAUUUAGUAAAAAAUUAUAGUUUUUUCCCAAACAAACAAAAAUUUAGAAAAGAGUGAUAUUUAAAAAAGUCUUUUUUGCAGAUUUCUUUAAUUUACAAGUAGAAGACAGCUGGAUUCUCAUAUCUGCAUCUGCAUUCAAUCUGUGCUGAUGUACUAUUUUGGCUGAAGUAUAUGAAGAAAAUCUGGCCUCACACAGACAUACAGGUGCACAAGAGAGGAGUAUGUCAGGAGCCUUUUCAUUUAAUUGUGAGUCCUUUUCUUUGCUACUACACCAGAACUCAACAAGUAGUUGUUUCUUAAAGGUCAUUUGCAAUGUUGAAUCUGAAACUAUAACAACAUUCUGUUUUAUUUAAAUCCACUGGUCUAUGUUGCACUUUGAAUGAGUGUUUUACCAAUGCAUUGUGAAUGGAUCUUUUGAAAAAUAUAAGUUCACCCAAUUAUGUAAA